AUGUCCUCCUGGUUACAGAGACAAGUGUGGACCAUGGAUUUGAACCUGAUGCCUUUGACUCAGCAUCUCCUUGCCAUCAGACCAAAGUGUUCCUCUUCUGUAAAGGACUGUUGCUGUCUACACACUGUUCUGAUGAUUUCUUCUGCGUGGAUGACUUCCAGUUCCAUCCUGUCCUCUGACGUUGCUCCUGAGUCCUCAUCCUGCAGACAGCUCCAUUGGUGUGUGGGUCCCUACCAGCCCCUGAAUCUCCUGCCCACACACCGACCAGGUAAAAUUACUGGCCAUUUUGAGUUAGCUGGGAAAGUGAGGACAACUGAAAGAGCCGCCAAAGAAAACUUCAGGGAGAAAUGAAGGAGGAAAUAUUGAUAGGCUGGGGCACGUCAUCAAAAUCACAGACCCUGAAGAUGGGAAAAGACUUUAGAAGCCCAAUGGCCUGUGUCCCGAAAGACUACUGCGACAGUCCCCAUCAGGGUUAGCAGAUCUGUGCACCCGGCCAUCUGCCCUCCUCGGUACUGAAGUGCUUGACACCGUUGACUGCAUUGUCCUCAGAACACAAUCUGACCUAGGGCUCCUUAUCACCAAACUCAGAGAUACUUUUCCAUUUGUUUGUCUCACAGGCUCUUCUUCACAAGUCUGUAAACACUGCAGUUUCCCAGAGCUGAUUCUCUGCUAUCUUCUCUCUUGAACUGAUUUUUACCAGAUCCCAGUGACUCUCUCAGAUACGCUUCCAGCCCAGAAUUUUUCCUUAAGUCUGGCUCAUAUGUUCCUUUUUCUCCUGACAUCUCUUCUUAGGUGUUUGACGGUCAUCUCAAAUUUCAUGUGGCCCCAAACUGAGUGAUUUCCUCCGCGCACCCCCCAGCCCACAUCCCUUAGGUCUUCGCCAUGGUGGUCCAUAAUCCCAUUGUUUGUUACUGUUUACUGUUAAUUCCCACACUAAGGAUUAAUCUGUCCUUCCCCUCUUUUUCUCGCACUCACAUUAAAUCUGUGUCAGCAUCUCCCAUCAAUGCCACCUCUUAAAUAUUAAUGUAUCCUGGGUCACAUCACUUUCCAUCAGCUCCAAGCUCUGGCUCAACCUGCCCGUGGGUCUCAGUCGAUCCUGUCCACCCUGCCCGCCCGCAGUCGGUCCUUUCACGGCAUCGAGUGAUCGUGCGCACGUCAGACCCAGCCAUUCCCUGGUCAGACCCUCCAGUAGCUUCUCUGUUAUUCCAGGAAUAAAACUGAAACUCUUUCACACUGUCCACAGGUCUACAGAGUCCAGUGUGUGGCUCCCUGUCUGGCCUUAUCAUCCUGUUUUCUCUCUCAUUCCUGCCUGUUUGGCGAUUUUGGCCUUUUUCCCUCACCCCUUGAAAAGACAUUAAGCUCAUGCCCAUUUCAAGGCCUGCUAUUUCUUCCUGACUGCUCUUCCCCAGAUCCUCAUACUGCUGCCAACUUCUCAUGAUGCAUAUCACAAAUAAGGCUCCUCUUUAUCAUACUAUCCUAUUUUUCUUCCUCACGGUGCUUAUAGGUAUCAUAAAAUAUCUUAUUUGUUUACACGCUUAUAGUCCAUCUCUCCCUUACAAGAAGGGAGGCUCCUGGAUAGCCCCUGUCUGUUUUCUCACUGCUCGGCAAAUAGUAGGUGUUUAAUAAAUACAUAUGCAUUGCCUAAGCAACAUUCUAUAACACAGUGAGAUACAGCCACAUUCUGACUACAGGCCUGGCUGGCUAAAGGGGAGUGGCACAAGGAAUGUUCAGAAAAAGUUUAUUCAUUUGUGGGUGUAGACAGGGAAACAAUUUGUCUGAACCUUAGUUAUCCUUUAAGAAAAUUUGCCUUUGAUGUUUGAGGGCAAGAGUCAGCUCCUAAAUAGAACUGUCACAUUGAACAGAGUCUUGAAGCUUCUGUAUAUUAUGCCCUAAGAGCUGUCUUUUCAUUAUUUCCAAUUGGUAUAGCUAAAAGAGUAAAUUAGUCCUUGCUACUGGUACAGAUGCUAAGUCGUCGCUUCAGUUGUGUCCAACUCUGUGCGACCCCAUAGACGCCAGCCCACCAGGCUCCUCCGUCCCUGGGAUUCUCCAGGCAAGAACACUGGAGUGGGUUGCCAUGUCCUUCUCCAAAGCGUGAAAGUGAAGUCACUCAGUCGUGUCCGACUCUUAGCUACCCCAUGGACUGCAGCCUACCAGGCUCCUCCACCCAUGGGAUUCUCCAGGCAAGGGUACUGGAGUGGGUCGCCAUUGCCUUCUCCGGAAAAUUAGUCCUUACUGGCCUUCAUUUCCAGAAGAGACCCCUCCGGUUUUCAAAAUAGAAAACCCCCAAAUCCCAAAGUGAUUCCAUUCCCUACUCAUCAUAUUUCCAUGGAGAGACAGGAAAUUCACUCGAGGUUUUGGAAGGCAGACCGUGGGUGGGUUUCUUCCAGGCUCUCUCUCUUCACUCCCCCUCAUCGCAGCAGCGCUUAGCUGAUUUGAGAGGAAGAACAAACAGAGCUCAGCUAGCUCCUCCGUGUCUCUCUUAUUUCGUCUGUCUGUCCACUAAAAGGUGUGGUCUCACCUGCUCUCUGCCACAGGUGAGCUGCCUGCUUGGCCUGGCUUAUGGAUGUUGAAUGAUGCCAGUGGCCGGGGAGGAGAAGGCUGCUUAAUGGGGUCGGACGUAAGGAGCCAGACGCAUCCUUCUGGCCCAGGUGUCA
ensembl:lincRNA